rnacentral:rRNA from 1 species
UGGGGAAUUUUCCGCAAUGGGCGCAAGCCUGACGGAGCAACGCCGCGUGAGGGAGGAAGGCCUGUGGGUUGUAAACCUCUUUUCUCAAGGAAGAAGUUCUGACGGUACUUGAGGAAUCAGCAUCGGCUAACUCCGUGCCAGCAGCCGCGGUAAGACGGAGGAUGCAAGCGUUAUCCGGAAUUAUUGGGCGUAAAGCGUCCGUAGGUGGUUUAGAAAGUCAGUUGUUAAAGCCCACAGCUCAACUGUGGAUCGGCAAUUGAAACUACUAGACUUGAGUGUGGUAGGGGUAGAGGGAAUUCCUAGUGUAGCGGUGAAAUGCGUAGAUAUUAGGAAGAACACCAGUGGCGAAGGCGCUCUACUGGGCCAUAACUGACACUGAUGGACGAAAGCUAGGGGAGCGAAAG